UAAUACUUUCGGCGGCCAUUUUUGUGUAAUAUGUGAAUACGUUCGCCAUCAUCGUGUAUUACGUGAAUGAAGCCUAACCAUAAUUUCUGUAAAAAUGGUUGGCAGGUGUGCUGUUCCUGGUUGUAAAUCAACAUAUUUCAAAGGAAAUCAAAAAGAAAACGAGGUUACCCUGUUUGCAUUUCCUAAAACUUCAUUAUCAAAAUGACGAGAACUAAUUCCAUGGAUUGAAAUUUUGAACGUGUUCCAUCCUUACAAACGGUGGACUCUUAAUGCUGGAGCAAUGCCCUGGAAACCAACAUUUUCUGUUAAAUGAUACAUCUAGUCAACAAGUAAUGCAAAAUGUUGAUGUUUUCAAAUGGAGAAAUAACUGGAAGCUCCCUGGAUCAUGUGUGAGCUAAUGCAGUUGAUGGUCAAUUUGUGGCAUGUACUCUAUGAAGCUGAGCCAAACUAUGCUACGUUUAACAAAUACGCCC